UGGGCUGGUCGAAAGACCCAUGUCCAACCACUACGGAGGGGAGACUCCCC
rnacentral:ncRNA from 1 species